GUCCACACCGUAAACGAUGAUUACUAGGUGUUGGAGGAUUGACCCCUUCAGUGCCGCAGUUAACACAAUAAGUAAUCCACCUGGGGAGUACGACCGCAAGGUUGAAACUCAAAGGAAUUGACGGGGGCCCGCACAAGCAGUGGAGUAUGUGGUUUAAUUCGACGCAACGCGAAGAACCUUACCAAGUCUUGACAUCCCUUGACGAUGCUGGAAACAGUAUUUCUCUUCGGAGCAAGGAGACAGGUGGUGCAUGGUUGUCGU
rnacentral:rRNA from 1 species